GCUUCCAUAGCUUAGUUGGUUAAAGCGUCGUACUAAUAGAACAUUAGUGAUGCGAAGAUCGCAGGUUCGAGCCCUGCUGGGAGCA
rfam:Drechmeria coniospora strain ARSEF 6962 chromosome 02, whole genome shotgun sequence.